UUCUGAGGUUUUAAUGCCAUCCACAUCAUUGUAACUUAAAACAUUGCUUUUUGUCUUCAGGAAUCUCCUUUCUACCGAUUGGAUUGUAUAAUGUUCUGGCCAAUUCAUGUUUCCUAGAUAGUUGCUGUUUGCGAUCACAUUUUCUGACAACUACGUAUUAUGUGGGUGACUCUUUCGUGUACAUACCGAUGUAUGCUCGUACGUACGUAUAUGUAUACGUAGAUACGUACGUAUGUAUGGUUCCUUUUCUCUUCCUUUUCUUAGAAUUCUUCCUAGAAGGAAUGUGUUGAUUUCUAUUAAAGAAAUUAAAGUUCCAUCGCAGAAAUUGUUUAACAACAACGAUAAUCGUUACAGGUUGAACUUCAGAAAGCAUUCAUAGUUUUACUGUAAAAAAAUCGUAUCUAUAAAAUUCAUGUUAGACGAUCUCCUUUGUUCGGAAAUCUUAGCUUUCCUAAUCGCCACUCAAACAUUCAACAGCAUAACCAAAGUCACCAACACUUAUUACUGUAAAAGUGGAUUUAUAAUCAGGUUUGAGGAAAUGCUGGUUUCGAAGCAGUUGUUCACAGAUAGCGCAAGAGUGGCUGUGUGGUAAAUAGCUUGCUUACCAACCACAUGGUUCCGGGUUCAUUCCCACUGUGGGGCACCUUGGGCAAGUGUCUCCUACUAUAGCCUCGGGCUGACCAAAGCCUUGUGAGUGGAUUUGGUAGACGGAAACUGAAAGAAGCCCGUCGUAUAUAUAUAUAUAUAUAUAUAUAUAUAUAUAUAUAUAUAUAUAUAUAUAUAUAUGUGUGUGUUUAUGUGUUUGUGUUUGUCCCUCCAACAUCUCUUGACAACUGAUGUUUACGUCCCCAUAACUUAGCGGUUUGACAAAAGACACCGAUAGAAUAAGUACUAGGCUUACAAAAAAUAAGUCCUGGGGUCGAUUUGCUCGACUAAAGGCGGUGCUCCAGGAUGGCCACAGUCAAAUGACUGAGACAAGUAAAAGAGUAGAGAGAGAUAAUCUCUUUCUCGCUGAUUUUAUAUGAGAUGGUCACGCUUGGAGGGCGACUAACUUCUAUGACUUUACAUGUCAGGUCUUUUAUAUUUACAUUUGAUAGAAGUUUUGAUGGGAAUUUCCCACCAAUAUUCCUUGUGCUAAAAUGUGUGUGGGUUCCAUAGCAGAGGUGUUUAUAUUUUUAUAUUCAUAUUAUUUUCUGUGGAUGGCUUCGUAUAUUGAUUUUGCUCUGCGGAUAGCGUUGUGUAGAGUGGUCAUGGCACAGUGGGGAGGUGAUGCCUCGAUGACAUUCUUGGAUGGAUGGACCCAUAAUCAACAUUUAUUGCUGCAUCUUAGAGUUUAGGGACUCCAUUUUGUGUUGAUGGUUCAUUAGAGAUUUCGGAGCCAACUCUUAUUCUUGGGUUGCAGAAGCAUAACCUUCGAGAUGCAACGCAGUGCGUGCGUGCAUGAGUGUGUGUGUGUGUGUGUGUGUGUGUGUGUGUGUGUGUGUGUGUGUGUGUGUGUGUGUGUGUGUGUGCGCGCGCGCGCGCGCGUGUGUGUGUGUGUGUGUGUGUGUGUGUGCGUGCGUGUGCAUAUAACUGGAAUAGUCAUCGCCGAAACUGACGGAUAUCUAUUUUUAAAAUCAACGUGUGGAAUUUGUUCUGAUCCCCAGUUAAUAAAGGGAACGUUUCGCAGUGUAAAAUGAGUGUGUGUGUGUGUGCGUGUGUAUAUAUAUAAAUAUAUAUAUAUGUAUGUAUAUAUGUAUAUAUAUAUGUAUGUGCGUAUAUAUAUAUAUAUAUAUAUAUAUAAAUAUAUAAAUCUCUCUCUCUCUCUCUCUCUCUCUAUAUAUAUAUAUAUAUAAAUAUAUUUAUAUAUAUAUAAAUAUAUAAAUCUCUCUCUCUCUCUCUCUCUCUCUCUAUAUAUAUAUAUAUAUAUAUAUAUAUAUAUAUAUAUAUAUAUAUAUAUAAAUAUAUAUAAAUAUAAAUAAAUAUAUAUAUAAAUAUAUAUAAAUAUAUAUAUAAAUAUAUUUAUAAAUAUAUAUAAAUAUAUUUAUAAAUAUAUACAUAUAUUGUGUUGUACAUGAGGAGAGUCACACACACACACACACACACGUAUAAUGCAAAUGAGAGGGAAAGAGCGCAGCUUUGGAGCCCGCAGCCUGACUUCCAUAUCUUCGAAUAGAGAAACCAGUAGAAAUCUCAGGGCAUUCAUUAAAAUAUCCUCCAUGCAUAUCAAAUGUGCUUUAAUAAUUCAGACGUUUAGUCAUUCACCGACGAAUCGCUGUCCUUGUAUAAAUAGACAUUUUCGUAUUUACACUCUUGUAUUGCUCCACACAACAUCAUCAUCGUCAUCAUCAGCAGCAGCAACAACACGUGGAUGUAUUGUGAAUGACAGUCUCAACUCUCCUCUCUCUUUCUCUCUCCCUCUCUCCUUUCUCUCUCCCUCUCUCUUUCUAGUUUCAUCACCUUCGUGCUUGCCUUUUAUGUUUGGUGAGGUCUACCAGGCAUUAUUUCUCUGUGUUGCUGUGUUCUUCUCCCUAUGUAUGUAUGUAUGUAUGUAUGUAUGUAUGUAUGUAUGUAUGUAUGUAUGUAUGUAUCAAUAAAUGUCUCUCUCUUUAUCUCUCUCUCUCUCUCUCUCUCUCUCUCUCUCUCUCUAUAUAUAUAUAUAUAUAUAUAUAUAUAUAUAUAUAUAUAUAUAUAUAUAUCAGCCCAGUCACCCCCCUCUGUGUAUAUGUUUAUAGACAGUUAUGUAUAUAUUUGUGUAUGUGUUCAUAGAUUGGUAAUUAUGUAUAUAUGUGUAUGAGUGUAUAUAUGUAUAUGUAUGUGUGUAUAUAUGUAUAUGUGUAUGUAUGAGUGUGUGUAUAUAUACAUAUAUGUACACACAUACACACACACUCAUACACGCACGCACACAUAAGUAUGGAUAUAUGCAUAUCUGAGUACAUGUGCGUAUAUAUAUAUAUACAUCUCUUUCUCUCUUCUUUCUACCGCUCUCUCUCUCUCUUUCUUUCUCUUCAGGCAUACACACAUACACACACACACAUGUAUACACACUCACUGGAAUUCCCUGUUCAACAAAACACACUCCACACUUCCAGAAAUUUCCAGAUUCACCAUUCCCUAAGUAAUAUCCUCCUUUCUUCUUUCUGCUUAAUUAAAAUCCAAGAAACAAAACAAAAUAUAUAAAAAAAAAACUAAUUCUUUCUAUUUUGCAGAUAAAGUGGAAUCCUUAAAUCUUUGAGCAAAGAAUUAAAGGAACCAGAACAGCAUUUCCUUUUGAAGGGCCGACAUCAAAACCACAAUAUUUCAGAAACAUUUGAAGAUGAAAUUACUGGCCAAAGUUUUAGGU
rnacentral:lncRNA from 1 species